UGGCGGACGGGUGAGUAACGCGUGGGUAACCUGCCUCAUACAGGGGGAUAACGAUUGGAAACGAUUGCUAAUACCGCAUAAGCGCACAGUACCACAUGGUACAGUGUGAAAAACUCCGGUGGUAUGAGAUGGACCCGCGUCUGAUUAGCUAGUUGGUGGGGUAACGGCCUACCAAGGCGACGAUCAGUAGCCGACCUGAGAGGGUGACCGGCCACAUUGGGACUGAGACACGGCCCAA
rnacentral:rRNA from 1 species